UCUUUCUCUCUCUCUCUCUCUCUCUCUCUCUCUCUCUCUUUCUCUCUCUCUCUCUCUCUCUCUCUCUCUCUCUCUCUCUCUCUCUCUCUCUCACUCUCUCUCUCUCUCUCUCUUUCUCUCUCUCUCUCUCUCUCUCUCUCUCUCUCUCUCUCUCUCUCUCUCUCUCUCUCUCUCUUUCUCUCUCUCUCUCACUCUCUCUCUCUCUCUCUCUCUCUCUCUCUCUCUCUCUCUCUCUCUCUCUCUCUCUCUGACACACACUUUUCUGUGACUCUGGUCACUUUUUAAAUGAUUGUUUUGUUUUUGUGAUAUUUUUUUUAACGCCAAAUCAAUCCUGUGGCACUGAGAUCCAGAUCACGGCUUAAUGAAUGUCUCCUCCAGUCUACACACCCCUCUCUCCUCUACCCUGUCAGUCUACACACCCCUCUCUCCUCCACCCUGUCAGUCUAUACACCCCUCUCUCCUCUACCCUGUCAGUCUACACAACCCUCUCUCCUCUACCCUGUCAGUCUAUACACCCCUCUGUCCUCUACCCUGUCAGUCUACACACCCCUCUCUCCUCCACCCUGUCAGUCUAUACACCCCUCUCUCCUCUACCCUGUCAGUCUACACACCCCUCUCUCCUCUACCCUGUCAGUCUAUACACCCCUCUCUCCUCUACCCUGUCAGUCUACACACCCCUCUCUCCUCUACCCUCUACCCUGUCAGUCUAUACACCCCUCUCUCCUCUACCCUGUCAGUCUAUACACCCCUCUCUCCUCUACCCUCUACCCUGUCAGUCUAUACACCCCUCUCUCCUCUACCCUGUCAGUCUAUACACCCCUCUCUCCUCUACCCUGUCAGUCUACACACCCCUCUCUCCUCUACCCUGUCAGUCUACACACCCCUCUCUCCUCUACCCUGUCAGUCUACACAACCCUGUCUCCUCUCCUCUAUCCUGUCAGUCUAUACACCCCUCUCUCCUCUCGGUGGAAUAUACAGAGCCUUCAGAAAGUAUUCACACACCUUUUACCACAUUUAGUUGUUACAGCCUGAAUGUCCCUGAUCUACACACACCUCAGAAAUGUCAAAGUGGAAUUUUGUUUUUAGAAAUUUUUUACUAAUUCAUUCAAAAUGAAAAGCUGAUGUCUUGAGUCAAUAAGAAUUCAACUUGCUUAACAAGUUACAUUUACAUUUAAGUCAUUUAGCAGACGCUCUUAUCCAGAGCGACUUACAAAUUGGUGCAUUCACCUUAUGACAUCCAGUGGAACAGCCACUUUACAAUAGUGCAUCUAAAUCUUUUAAGGGGGGGGGGGGGUUAGAAGGAUUACUUUAUCCUAUCCUAGGUAUUCCUUAAAGAGGUGGGGUUUCAGGUGUCUCCGGAAGGUGGUGAUUGACUCCGCUGUCCUGGCGUCGUGAGGGAGUUUGUUCCACCAUUGGGGUGCCAGAGCAGCGAACAGUUUUGACUGGGCUGAGCGGGAACUGUACUUCCUCAGUGGUAGGGAGGCGAGCAGGCCAGAGGUGGAUGAACAAGUCACAUGAUAAGUUGCUUAACAAGUCACAUGAUAAGUUGCUUAACAAGUCACAUGAUAAGUUGCUUAACAAGUCACAUGACAAGUUGCUUAACAAGUCACAUGAUAAGUUGCUUAACAAGUCACAUGAUAAGUUGCAUGGACUCACCCUGUGUGCAAUAAUAGUGUUUAACAUGAUUUUUGAAUGACUACCUCAUCUCUAACCCACACAUACAAUUAUCUGUAAUGUCCCUCAGUCGAGUAGUGAAUUUCAAACACAGAUUCACCCACAAAGACCAGGGAUGUUUCUCCAAACUGAUUAGUAGAUGUGUAAAAAAAAUAUAUAUAUAUCCCUUUGAGCAUGGUGAAGUUAUUAAUUAGGCUUUUAAAGGUUUAUCAAUACACUACAAAGAUACAGAUACAAAGAGUCCUAACUCAGUUGCCGGAGAGGAAGGAAACCGCUCAGUGAUUUCACCAAGAGGCCAAUGGUGACUUUAAAACAGUUACAGAGUUUAAUGGCUGUGAUGGGAGGAAACUGAGGAUGGAUCAAAAACAUUGUAGUUACUCCACAAUACUAACCUAAUUGACAGAGUGAAAAGAAGGAAGCAUUUACAGAAUAUAAAUAUUCCAAAACAUGCAUCCUCUAUCCAGGCUCUUAGGUAAUAUUGUAAAAAUGGGGUUCUGGGGUUCUGAAUAUAAGUAAUAUUGUAAAAAUGGGGUUCUGGGGUUCUGAAUAUAAGUAAUAUUGUAAAAAUGGGGUUCUGGGGUUCUGAAUAUAGGUAAUAUUGUAAAAAUGGGGUUCUGGGGUUCUGAAUAUAGGUAAUAUUGUAAAAAUGGGGUUCUGGGGUUCUGAAUAUAGGUAAUAUUGUAAAAAUGGGGUUCUGAAUAUAGGUAAUAUUGUAAAAAUGGGGUUCUGGGGUUCUGAAUAUAGGUAAUAUUGUAAAAAUGGGGUUCUGGGGUUCUGAAUAUAAAGCAUUGUGCUGGAUUUUCCACAAACACAACACAUCAGUAAGUACCACUCUUCAUAUUAUCAAGCAUAGUGGUGGCUGCAUCAUGUUAUGGGUAUGCUUGUCAUCAGCAAGGACUAGGGAGGUUUUUAGGAUAAAAAGAAACGGAAUAGAGCUGAGCACAGGCAAAAUGCUUGAGGAAAACCUGGUCCAGUCUAUUUUCCACAAGACACUGGGAGAGGAGAUCACCUUUCAGCAGGACAAUAACCUAAAACACAAGACCAAAUCUAUACAGGAGUUGCUUACCAAGACGACAUUGAAUUCUCCUGAGUGACCUAGUUACGGUUUUGACUUAAAUCUACUUGGAAAUCUCUGGCAAGACUUGAAAAAAUUUCUAAGAAUGAUCAACAACCAACUUGACAGAACUAGAAUCAUUUUUUUUAAAGAAUAUUGGGCAAAUAUUGAACAAUUUGGGUGAGCAAAGCACUUAGAGAUGUACCCUAAAAGACUCCCAGCUGUAAUCGCUGACAAAGGUGAUUCUAACAUGUAUUGACUCAGGGGGGGGUGAAUACUGAUCUAAUCAAGAUAUAUUAGUGUUUUAUUUUUCAUUCAUUUGUAAUAAAUGUUAGAUUUUUCUACCACUUUGACAUGACAGAGUAUUUUGUGUAGAUAGUCGACCAAAAAUGACAGUGAAAUCUAAUUUAAUCCCACUUUGUAACGGAGAAAAAGUCAAGGAGGACUUUCUGAAGGCUCUGUACACGUUAUUUAAUGAUAAGUGACAGCUGUAGUACCUGAUGUGUGUACCGUGUCACAGUUGCCCUCUGGGGUCUGCAGGGGUCAGGGGUCACCGUGGGGGGGUUCCUUACUCUACCCCUUACAUGGUGGGUGACGGGGACUUGUCUUUGUUAGUUUGUAUACUUUUAUAUAAAAAGAAGAGUUAUUGGAGAAAAAAAACGAAACCUGAAUGUUCAUUUGUCUGUUAGUUACCAUGACAACGAUGAUGAUAUUUUAAGGAAAUAAACUGUUGUGUUUUCAGAA